rnacentral:misc_RNA from 1 species
GAUGAAGAACGUAGCGAAAUGCGAUAAGUAAUGUGAAUUGCAGAAUUCAGUGAAUCAUCGAAUCUUUGAACGCACAUUGCGCCCUCUGGUAUUCCGGGGGGCAUGCCUGUUCGAGCGUCAUUACAACCCUCAAGCUUUGCUUGGUAUUGGACAUUGCCAGUUUCUGGCAGGUCUUAAAAUCAGUGGCGGUGCCAUUUGGCUUCAAGCGUAGUAAUUCUUCUCGCUUUGGAGAUCCAGGUGGUUACUUGCCAAUAACCCCCAAUUUUUUCAGGUUGACCUCGGAUCAGGUAGGGAUACCCGCUGAACUUAAGCAUAUCAAAAAGCGGAGGA